GACGAACGCUGGCGGCGUGCUUAACACAUGCAAGUCGAACGGAAAGGCCCUGCUUGCAGGGUACUCGAGUGGCGAACGGGUGAGUAACACGUGGGUGAUCUGCCCUGCACUUCGGGAUAAGCCUGGGAAACUGGGUCUAAUACCGGAUAGGAGCCAUUUUUAGUGUGAUGGUUGGAAAGUUUUUUCGGUGUAGGGUGAGCUCGCGGCCUAUCAGCUUGUUGGUGGGGUAAUGGCCUAGCAAGGCGGCGACGGGGAGCCGGCCUGUGAGGGUGGACGGCCACAGUGGGACUGAGAGACGGCCCAGACUCCUACGGGAGGCAGCAGGAGGGAAUAUUGCACAAUGGGCGCAAGCCUGAUGCAGCGACGCCGCGUGGGGGAUGACGGCCUUCGGGUUGGAAACUCCGUUCGCUAGGGACGAAGCUUUUUGUGACGGUACCUAGAUAAGAAGCACCGGCUAACUACGUG
rnacentral:rRNA from 1 species